UUACCCUCCAGGAGGUCAAAGUUUGACUCUUGCUUAAAUUGUUUUCUGUCCAUAAAGAAUAUAUGCUAUAGAGUAUAAAUUACUGUAGUAGGCAGUAUAGGGCUUUAAUAUACUUGUGAGGGGUUUAGUUAUAUGGAGAGUGUCGGCUAAGGUUGUGCCAGCGGCUGCGGUUAUACAACAGACACAAGUUAAUUUUUCUAAGAAGCAGUUAAAAUAGGCAUGCUUGGGUUUGGUAAUUAUUUUUCGUAGAGAUGAAAUUCGUACGGGGGGUAUUAUAAAAUUAAGACAUGAAGUUGAGGCUGCGAAAGCGUUGAAUAGGACCAGGAUUAGAUACCCUGUUAAUAUGUCUUUUAAUGGUAAGUUUUGAGUAGUAGUAGAGUUCUUGAAACUAAAAGAGUUUGGCGGUAUUUAAGUCUAUCUAGAGGAACCUGUAACAUGAUCGAUAGUCCACGAGUAUCUGACUUGAUUUCAGUUUGUAUAUCGUUGUCAUCAGAAUUUCCUAGAAAGGGGUUUUCGAGGUAUUGUGGUUAAAAUGUCAAAUCAAGGUGCAGUUUAUAAUUAAGGGUUUAUGGGUUACAGUGCCAGGAGGUAUACGAAUUAUUUUAUGUAAUUUAAAAUAUGAAGGCGGAUUUAGUUGUAAUGUCCAAUUAUUAAGUGGGCUUGAAAGAGUACUGAAAUAUGCACACAUCGCCCGUCACUCUCGUUUAUAAAAUGAGAAAAGUCGUAACAAAGUAGGCGUACCGGAAGGUGUGCCUAG
rnacentral:ncRNA from 1 species